GUAACUAGCCCAAGUUCACUUGGCAAAGAGUCAACCCAGCAUUGCCUGGAAGUCGCCCUCCUCACACAUGCCUCCCAUUUUCUUGUGCUACAUUCCAAGGGUUCCUGACAUCGUAGGUCAGGCGGCCAAACUCAGAGCACAUUCAGAAGUUGUCCCCAUGUUACAUGCCCAGAAUGCAAUCCAUAAUGCUAAUGAUGGAUGACAACAGUGAAGUCGCAUGCCAUUUGUACUAAAAUUCCAGUACUUGGAAUAAGUCCUAAUUGUUGCAUCUUAUUUUCUCAGAUUUCAAGAUUUCCCAGAAAAACCAGCCUAACCCUGAGGAAUACAUCAUCAUGGUUGUCUUUCCCUUGGGAUUCUGAGCACCAGAGAGCAUCCCCAUUGGUUCAGAAAACGGAAGAAUAAAGCACUGGUGAUUCCAAGGACACACAAGGAAGAGGCGAAAAAGAGCCGGGGAACUAGUGCGGGAACUUCCUUACGAGUACCACUGGCCUGGAUGCUUGCCCUUGUACCCAUACCUUGGACCCUGCCUCCCAGCUGAGUUGGACAUCCUGUCAGUCCACACUCACUGUCUGUUACCUGCCCCCGCCCCCCCAGGUAGGUGCCCUCCCUUUUCUGUGGGUGAGUGGGCUCAAUCCAGUUGUACCUUGAGAUGGGACCCCUUGUCAGUACUCCAUGAGCAUGUGUUGAUGAGUGAAAAACAGGGGGGAAAAAAAUCUUCAUUCACCUAUAAUUCGUUUCACGUGUAGGCAUUAGAUUCACCUAAAACCGGGUAUGCCUGCGGCACCUGUGACAGAUUGCUUUUCCAGCAGCUUAACUCAAGGAGCAUUGCAUUGGCCAAGCAACACCCUUUGAUAAGGUGGAUGGGGAAUGCCUUACACUCUGUACCGUCCCUCACUCCUAGAGGGUGGCCCAGCAGGCCUGGCAGCUCCGUGAUCCUCCACGGUUUACUAGCAUCCACAGAACGCAUGUGAGCCAGGCGAGCGAGCACACUCUCCAUCCUGGGUCAGGCAUCCCUUCACUUAGUGUAGGUGGAGCCUAAGAUGCCGUCCACCCUCACCACUGAAAGCAUCAUCAUCGUGGUUGAUGCUACUGGCCUAUGACGUCAAACCACUUAACCAACCCCAUAGCGCUUCCUUAAAUCCUUUUCGGAACCAGGCAAGCCGUAUCUGUAUGCAUGCACAGCAGAUCUGGGAGAGAGUUUACAAGAAAGUCUGUUUUUCUCCCUUCAUUAUUUGUGUAUCAGUUUGGCCUUUGAUUAAGUACUUCAUCUGCAAAGCCAUUUACUCAUACUAGCAAAGGCAGGGUCAACAGAAGAAAGCCUCCAGUGCUCACCAGCUGCCCUCAGCAGCACCUUCGAUGAUCUUGCCUUCAGAUAUACAAUCUGAAAAGGGGAAUUUCCUCAGAAGCCCUCAAUGACCAACACAAAGAAAACAAAGGAAAAGGGAAUUUGUGACUGUGAAUCACAGUCUCCACCAAAAUCCACACUCAUUCACCCAGACAGUCCCAGUAAACAGCUGGCCAGCCCUUCACUGGACACCACUUUGCAAAGCCGGGCUUAUUUCUUUUCAACCCUUUGCCACCAUCAGGGCUGGCUGAGCCUCACACAAAGCCCCGGUCGUCCUGUGGCGGAUGCUCGCCUCUCCCACCGCUGUUUGCAGAACUACAUCAUAAACAAUCACAUCUCUGUAGGGAAU